CCCAUAAUACCUUAGCAAUUGAGCUUCCUUUUAACACUCAAACAUAUAAUAUCGCUUCGCACAUGUAGCUCCAGACUUCUUCUACUUGUCCAGUUCUAUUCCGCCUCAACAAUCUACUAUUCAUUGAACAUUUUGAGACUUUGCACUUUUAGAGAGAGGCUUUUCCAGAAGAACUAUACAGAAGGCAUGGCAGUAUCAACCCUCCUCUCCCUCCAUCCAUCCUUCAUUAAAAAAAUGUGAUUUAAGUUACAAAAUCAAGCACUUGAAAGCUAGGAAGUCCCAGAUUCAUGGUUGCCUGUGCAACCAAUCUGUGCACUGAAAAUAAGGCGGGAAUCCUAUAGAAAAAAUAGCAAGUAAAUAUGUCAUUAAAGAAUGUAUCACAAUGCAGAUGCACAUCAAUAUAAGCCUCAAUUUAAGCAUUUCUAAAACAAUUGUUCCUAAAAAUUCUUUACUAGCAGUUACAAAAUGUAACUUCAUCAAAAGGAUACAUUUUAAAUUCCUUUUUUUAUUAUUAUUAAUUGUAGAAUAGUUUUAGGAUAAGCAGCAAUCAGCAAAAGACAAGAGGAGAGUAAAUUGGGGUUUUUUGGUUUUGUUUUGUUUUUGUUUUUACC